CAAAGAAUAGCAUAAUUAAUGCCCCUUAUUUACAUUAAGGAGAUACCUCCCUUUGC
rnacentral:tRNA from 1 species